CAAAUUUAGUGAUGCUGUUGUCGGGUUCGAAUUAAAACACUGUUAAGUAGAUCAUUCAGUUUUUAGUUCUAUCUCCCCGGCCGGUCGUAUUCUUACGGUGGUAUAUGUGGAUGAUAUUAUCAUUCUUGGUAGUGAUUCAGAUGGUAUCAAUUUAUCACAACGAAAAUAUGUACUUGACAUUCUUGAUGAGGUUGGAUUUCUUGGAGCAAAGCUAGUAGAUACUCCUAUGGAACCCAAUGUGAAACCGAUCCAGAACAUGGAGAAUUGUUAUGUGAUCCAGGGAAAUAUAGAAGAUUAGUGGGAAAGUUGAACUAUCUUACUGUCACAAGGCACGAUAUAUCAUUUGCUGUUAGUGUAGUUAGUUAGUUCGUGAGUUCUCCCCGUAUUACUUACUAGGAUGCUAUACUUAGAAUUAUCAAGUACUUAAAGGGAGCGCUAGGUAAAGGGCUACUUUUCAAGAAUUACGAACAUCCGGACACUAUAGGUUUCUCUAAUGCACACUGGGCUGCAUGUCCUAUUGAUAGGAGAUCUACAUCGGGUUAUUGUG